AUUGAACGCUAGCGGGAUGCUUUACACAUGCGAGUCGAACGGCAGCGCGGACUUCGGUCUGGCGGCGAGUGGCGAACGGGUGAGUAAUGUAUCGGAACGUGCCCAGUAGCGGGAGAUAACUACGCGAAAGCGUAGCUAAUACCGCAUACGCCCUACGGGGGAAAGCAGGGGAUCGUAGGACCUUGCACUAUUGGAGCGGCCGAUAUCGGAUUAGCUAGUUGGUGAGGUAACGGCUCACCAACGCGACGAUCCGUAGCUGGUUUGAGAGGACGACCAGCCACACUGGGACUGAGACACGGCCCAGACUCCUACGGGAGGCAGCAGUGGGGAAUUUUGGACAAUGGGGGCAACCCUGAUCCAGCCAUCCCGCGUGUGCGAUGAAGGCCUUCGGGUUGUAAAGCACUUUUGGCAGGAAAGAAACGUCGCGGGCUAAUACCCCGUGGAACUGACGGUACCUGCAGAAUAAGCACCGGCUAACUACGUG
rnacentral:rRNA from 1 species